UACGUAGGUGGCAAGCGUUGUCCGGAUUUACUGGGCGUAAAGGGCGUGCAGGCGGUUUGUUAAGUGCAGGGUGAAAGCUCCCGGCUCAACUGGGAGAGGUCCUUGCAUACUGGCAAACUCGAGGGAGGCAGAGGAAAGUGGAAUUCCCGGUGUAGUGGUGAUAUGCGUAGAUAUCCGGAGGAACACCGGUGGCGAAGGCGGCUUCCUGGACCGAUACUGACGCUGAGGCGCGAAAGCUAGGGGAGCAAACGGG
rnacentral:rRNA from 1 species